rnacentral:tRNA from 5 species
UCAGUUUAUAUUUUAUUUAAAAUGUUAAUUUUGGAAAUUAAUGAUAAUAUAUAUUUAUAUUUAUACUGAU